UGCAGUCGAGCGAACGGAUAAGGAGCUUGCUCCUUUGAAGUUAGCGGCGGACGGGUGAGUAACACGUGGGUAACCUACCUAUAAGACUGGAAUAACUUCGGGAAACCGGAGCUAAUGCCGGAUAACAUUUGGAACCGCAUGGUUCUAAAGUAAAAGAUGGUUUUGCUAUCACUUAUAGAUGGACCCGCGCCGUAUUAGCUAGUUGGUAAGGUAACGGCUUACCAAGGCAACGAUACGUAGCCGACCUGAGAGGGUGAUCGGCCACACUGGAACUGAGACACGGUCCAGACUCCUACGGGAGGCAGCAGUAGGGAAUCUUCCGCAAUGGACGAAAGUCUGACGGAGCAACGCCGCGUGAGUGAUGAAGGUUUUCGGAUCGUAAAACUCUGUUAUUAGGGAAGAACAAAUGUGUAAGUAACUGUGCACAUCUUGACGGUACCUAAUCAGAAAGCCACGGCUAACUACGUGCCAGCAGCCGCGGUAAUACGUAGGUGGCAAGCGUUAUCCGGAAUUAUUGGGCGUAAAGCGCGCGUAGGCGGUUUCUUAAGUCUGAUGUGAAAGCCCACGGCUCAACCGUGGAGGGUCAUUGGAAACUGGGAAACUUGAGUACAGAAGAGGAAAGUGGAAUUCCAUGUGUAGCGGUGAAAUGCGCAGAGAUAUGGAGGAACACCAGUGGCGAAGGCGACUUUCUGGUCUGUAACUGACGCUGAUGUGCGAAAGCGUGGGGAUCAAACAGGAUUAGAUACCCUGGUAGUCCACGCCGUAAACGAUGAGUGCUAAGUGUUUAGGGGGGUUUCCGCCCCUUAGUGCUGCAGCUAACGCAUUAAGCACUCCGCCUGGGGGAGUACGACCGCAAGGUUGAAACUCAAAGGAAUUGACGGGGACCCGCACAAGCGGUGGAGCAUGGUGGUUUAAUUCGAAGCAACGCGAAGAACCUUACCAAAUCUUGACAUCCUUUGAAAACUCUAGAGAUAGAGCCUUCCCCUUCGGGGGACAAAGUGACAGGUGGUUGCAUGGUUGUCGUCAGCUCGUGUCGUGAAAAGGUUGGGUUAAGUCCCGCAACGAGCGCAACCCUUAAACUUAGUUGCCAGCAUUUAGUUGGGCACUCUAGGUUGACUGCCGUG
rnacentral:rRNA from 1 species